GGGGGCGUGGUGGAACGGUAGACACGAACGACUCAAAAUCGUUUGCCUUCACAGGCUUGCCGGUUCGAGUCCGGCCGCCCCUA
rnacentral:tRNA from 1 species